CCCUUAGAUGUUCUGGGCCGCACGCGCGCUACACUGAACAGUUCAACAAGUCUUAACCUUGGCCGAUAGGCCUGGGUAAUCUUUGAACGCUGUUCGUGAUUGGGAUAGACCUUUGCAAUUAUGGGUCUUCAACGAGGAAUUCCUAGUAAACGCAAGUCAUCAGCUUGCAUUGAUUACGUCCCUGCCCUUUGUACACACCGCCCGUCGCACCUACCGAUUGAAUGGUCCGGUGAAAUCUCGGGACGGCGGCUUGGUCGCUUGCGUCCGACUGCUGAAACUUGAUUAAACCAUAUCAUUUAGAGGAAGGUGAAGUCGUAACA
rnacentral:rRNA from 1 species